rnacentral:rRNA from 1 species
GGCAGCAGCCGCGGUAAGACGUAGGGGGCGAGCGUUGUCCGGAAUUACUGGGCGUAAAGAGCACGUAGGCGGGAAUUUAAGUCAGAUGUGAAAGACCGGGGCUCAACUCCGGGGUUGCAUUUGAAACUGAAUUUCUUGAGGGCAGGAGAGGAAAGCAGAAUUCCUGGUGUAGCGGUGAAAUGCGUAGAAAUCAGGAGGAAUACCAGUGGCGAAGGCGGCUUUCUGGACUGACCCUGACGCUGAGGUGCGAAAGCGUGGGUAGCAAACAGGAUUAGAUACCCUGGUAGUCCACGCCGUAAACGAUGGAUACUAGGUGUGGGAGGUAUCGACCCCUUCCGUGCCGCAGCUAACGCAAUAAGUAUCCCGCCUGGGGAGUACGAUCGCAAGGUUGAAACUCAAAGGAAUUGACGGGGGCCCGCACAAGCGGUGGAGCAUGUGGUUUAAUUCGAUGCAACGCGAAGAACCUUACCAGGUCUUGACAUCCAACGAAUCCUGAUGAAAAUCGGGAGUGCCUUCGGGAGCGUUGAGACAGGUGGUGCAUGGUUGUCGUCAGCUCGUGUCGUGAGAUGUUGGGUUAAGUCCCGCAACGAGCGCAACCCCUGCUAUUAGUUGCUAACAGGUAGAGCUGAGCACUCUAAUGGGACUGCCGGUGACAAGCCGGAGGAAGGUGGGGAUGACGUCAAAUCAUCAUGCCCUUUAUGACCUGGGCUACACACGUGCUACAAUGGAUGGUACAGAGAGCUGCGAGACCGUGAGGUGGAGCGAAUCUCAAAAAGCCAUUCUCAGUUCGGAUUGGAGUCUGCAACUCGACUCCAUGAAGUCGGAAUCGCUAGUAAUCGCGAAUCAGCAUGUCGCGGUGAAUGCGUUCCCGGGCCUUGUACACACCGCCCGUCACACCACGAAAGUCGGCAACACCCGAAGCCGGUGACUUAACUUGUAAAAGAGAGAGCCGUCGAAGGUGGGGUUGGUGAUUGGGGUGAAGUCGUAACAAGGUAACCA